rnacentral:RNase_P_RNA from 1 species
AAUGGAAGGUGACCGAGCUUGUUUUUUAAACAGGUUAGGAAAGUCCAUGCUAGCACAUUCUGAGACGAAUGUAGUGUUUGUGCCUAAGGAAACAAUAACUUAGGGUACGAUUCAUCGUAACGGCGUCCAAGGAUCUAAAGGGCAACCCAUGAUCGGCGGACCUAAGGUGCCACAGAGACGAGCUGCCGGGAAACCGGUGGAUGAAACGCGGUAAACCCCUCAAGCUAGCAACCCAAAUUUUGGUAGGGGCACGUGUGAAGGCGAAUUGAAGCCGACACAUGCUACAUGAUGUAGAGAUAAAUGGUCACACCCGUCAGGGAACAGAACAUGGCUUAUGCUC